AAGGCUUUAGCUUAAUCAAAGUAUCUGGGUUGCAUCCAGAAGAUGUGGGAUAAACUCCCGCAAGCCUUA
rnacentral:tRNA from 1 species